AGGUGCUUGGAGAUCCUCCCGCAGAGGGACGAGAGGGUUCGAGGCUGGCACAAACCCCACCUCAGCCCUGCCCUCCCCAUGAGCAGCAGCAAGACGGUGAUUAGCUGCUCUCCCCAAGGCUCCAAGGAAAAGUUGAAGAAGGAUCUGAAAGCUGAACACUCGGUCAGCAGAUGUUCUUCUGGACUGUAAGGAGAGCCGUGGGGACAGGAAGGAACGGCGAGAAUGAGAGAAAUCCCUCAACACUAAGAUCUCUGCUUCCCCCACUGGGAGUCCAAGAGUUGAACUGCCCAAGAUUUUUCGAAGAGAAGACCUAUCUGGUUUUCAUUGCCUGUGGGUGUCUUAACUGCUUCAGUGGAGCUUCAGAGGCCUCCAAGGCAGAUUGAAAUGAAAUCAGAGAACCUUAUAUUUACUGGGGGUCCAGCUUCCCACCUAAAUAGCUACAGUCAACUCCCUGUUAUCUGGGCUUAGGCAGGAGAGCUGUAACAUGGCGCUUACCAAGUCAGCAGAAAAAUUAAAUAAUUUCUUCUGGA